CGGGGGGGGCAAGCGUUGUUCGGAAUUACUGGGCGUAAAGGGCUCGUAGGUGGCCAACUAAGUCAGACGUGAAAUCCCUCGGCUUAACCGGGGGAACUGCGUCUGAUACUGGAUGGCUGGAGUUUGGGAGAGGGAUGCGGAAUUCCAGGUGUAGCGGUGAAAUGCGUAGAUAUCUGGAGGAACACCGGUGGCGAAGGCGGCAUCCUGGACCAACACUGACGCUGAGGAGCGAAAGCCAGGGGAGCAAACGGGAUUAGAUACCCCGGUAGUCCUGGCCCUAAACGAUGAAUGCUUGGUGUGGCGGGUAUCGAUCCCUGCCGUGCCGAAGCUAACGCAUUAAGCAUUCCGCCUGGGGAGUACGGUCGCAAGGCUG
rnacentral:rRNA from 1 species